rnacentral:lncRNA from 1 species
UUUGUGGAGAUAUGUGUCCACAAAUGAAAAAGAGAUCAGGAGAAACUGAAAAUCCACAUGAGCAAUACACUCAUAAAUGGGACAGAGACUCUGGGAACCCACUAGGGAGUAAAAGGGAAAUGAGAAUGCGUGAGAAGGUCACGACUUAAAACUUGCUGGGGCACGAAUGGAUUUCCAUGAAAAUAAAUCGAUGGAAAUACUCGAGCUGACUCAACAAUGCAUGUAUUGGGGAAUAUGCC